rnacentral:ncRNA from 1 species
GGGGGGACGCAGGAGGAUAGGGCGAGCAGGCGGCUGGAAGAGCCUGUCCAAGCAGUGAGGCUGGCCAGUAGGCAAAUCCGCUGGCCGGAAGGCCAAGCUGUGAUGGCGACGGAGUCAUCCGGAAGUCCCCGAUUUCACACUGCCAAGAAAAGCCUCUAGCGAGGGAAGAGGUGCCCGUACCGCAAACCGACACAGGUAGGCGAGGAGAGAAUCCUCAGGCGCGCGGGAGAACUCUCGUUAAGGAACUCGGCAAAAUGACCCCGUAACUUCGGGAGAAGGGGUGCUCUUUCGGGUGAAGAGCCUGGAAGAGCCGCAGUGAAAAGGCCCAAGCGACUGUUUAUCAAAAACACAGGUCUCUGCGAAGCCGAAAGGCGACGUAUAGGGGCUGACACCUGCCCGGUGCUGGAAGGUUAAGGGGAGCGCUGAGCGGAAGCGAAGGUGCGAACCGAAGCCCCAGUAAACGGCGGCCGUAACUAUAACGGUCCUAAGGUAGCGAAAUUCCUUGUCGGGUAAGUUCCGACCCGCACGAAAGGUGUAACGACUUGGGCGCUGUCUCAACGAGAGACCCGGUGAAAUUAUACUACCUGUGAAGAUGCAGGUUCCCCGCGACAGGACGGAAAGACCCCGUGGAGCUUUACUGCAGCCUGAUAUGGAAUUUUGGUAUCGCUUGUACAGGAUAGGUGGGAGCCUGAGAAGCCGGAGCGCCAGCUUCGGUGGAGGCG